rnacentral:sRNA from 1 species
GCUUCUGAAGCUGUGCGCUUGGUCAAAGAGGACAACCAUCCCUGAUAGAGAAGAACCGGUGUUCAGUCAAGGGUAUACGAGUAAAUGUGCUCCCCUGCUAGAACCUCCAAACAAGCUCUCAAGGUCCAAAGUGUGAGAGGGUGGCCGGGCGUGGU